UGUCCUGCCCUACACUGGAAGCAGCCUCUCUGGAGACGCCACACAAACUACUCCCGGGUCACACUGGGGCUUGGGCUCCUCACCUGGACACCAUGCAUUUUUUAAAUCCCUCAAACUGAUCCUGACAUGCAGCUUCCGACCUGACUACUAAAUGAGUGCAGGCAUGGGUGGAUGGAUUGCGAUGUGCACGCUGCUGCUGCUGCUGCUUCUCCACCUCUCCUGUUUAGAGACCUGAGUUCAGUGUGGCCACACAUGCCCAGUCCUGAUGACUAUAGGAUUGAGUUUUCUGAAGGACUUCACUGUAGCUGACACAAAGAGGCAAAAAAUGACCUGUACCCCUCUGAUGAUCAUCUUGACAGAUCUACCAAAAAUGUCAACUUCUCCACGAGAAAGAUGCUCAAAGCGCCCGAACCAAUUACAUCAAAGACGGAGCUCACAUAUUGAGACUUGUUA